UGAACGAUCCUGAAGAGAAGAUGAGAUUACUUCAGUUAGAGCAAGAGGAGGCUGCGAGAAUGGAGAGGGAGCGGCUAAAGGUUAAGGAGCGAGAAAGGUAGUUUCUGCAAGCGUUGGAGAUGGAGAAGAAGAGGAAGAACAACGCAAAUUCGAAGAAGAAGAAUCUUAGAGAAGGCUGGCUAGGGUUGAUUCUCAAGAGAUUCACUUUCUACCUUUCAACCCCACCGACAAAAGAACAUCAUGAUAAGGAUGGUAAAAUGCAUAAGGUCAGCAAAGGUGCUCCAGAACAGGUUUACAUGGCUGCAACUGAUACGGCUCUUCCCAUGGGUUAGAACUAAAGCUACAAGCUAGAAAGAUAGGGUGAAUGAUGGAAGAUUGGUGUGCUACGAAAAGCGGAGUUUUUGGGUUCACUCCCUCUACUCUAUGCGAUAUGUAUGUGAUUUCAUUCCUGCCCCCAAAAACAGAGGUUAAAAGAUUACUACAUAUUUAAUAAGCAUCAAAUCUACCGGGAGGGUCUGGACAUAAGUCUUCAAACUCCUAGGGUCCAAGCUCUUAACUGAGAAGAACCUUCAAAAUGACGUGCGAAAAAGUGGUAUUUAGAACAAUUAUGGAAAAAUAUAAUCAUGUAAUUGAUGUACUCAUUCAAUUUGUUUAUUGAGUUUUAUUUUAUUGCAGACACGUAGCAUAAUUUACUA